rnacentral:misc_RNA from 1 species
AACUUCCAUUUUGGUUCCACUCACUGCCAUAAAAAUGCCGCUGUGAUUGCAGACGCCAAAACUUGAAUGUCUUGCCAGGAACUUCCUUUUGUAUAUAUGAGACCAUAUUCUCAAGAACAACUUUAAAUCCAUCAAACAAACCAAGGGAAGGAAGUAUCUGUUGGCCAGCAUGAUAAAAAACAAAAGGUGUGUCAUUUGGAAAUUUGUCAUGACCCCACCUAUUCCAGAUGAAAUAAUAUAAUUUAAAGAUGCAUUUAGACACGUCAAAUGCAUAACAAGAAAGAAAAAGCAAAAUAGCAGAUCUGCCAGUACAAGGAUGCAAAAAAGUGAAAAUAAUUAAUCUUAACCUAAUUCUUUGCUCACACAUGGUUGAGCAUUUCAGAUUCCCUUUACAAAUAUUCCUCUUUCAUUUGGUAUUCAUUUCCCUCAACUUCCAGCUAGCAUGCUUCUAGCAUUCUACUAUUCCCUUUACACAUAAUAGACCUUUGCAUCAUUGUAACUAGAUCAUUCUGCACACAUAUCACAUAAUGUUUUAACAGUCAUCCUACUAGUAUUUUAUCAUAAAUGUCCUCAGAUAUUUUCCCAAUUUCUUCUGAGCUCAUAAUUUGAAUACACCACAAUUACAUGGGCAUUUUGUUAAUGCAUCAAAAGUAAAUGCCAUAUGUGAAAGUAGAAUGAAAACUUUAUUUUUUAAAUACCUUUUGAUAAGCAAUAAUUUUUCUGAGUUAUAUCAGGUAAUAAGCCAAUUUUCAUUUCUGGGAAUUAUACUUUGAGUCUCCAGAGCAAAAACUAAGUUAAAACCAUGUAGUUACAUAAAGUGAAACCUAGAUGGUUGUAAACUACUUGUGAAAAUACUUGUAUGUUUUUCUUGAAUUGUUAGAUUUAGAAUAAAUGAAUAUUGUGUCAAGCUCUACCAAAUUAAAGGAACACACUACGGCUGUGGAAUACAGGCAAGAGAAUUAAUGUCCAAAAGAGAAAGAGGACAAUGAGAGUUGAGAAACAGCAAUACAAAAUAAUAGUGAUUGACAAGGACAAGAACAUUGCAAUACAAGACAAGAACAUUGCAAUACAAGACUCCUUACCUGUGAGUUUUACAUAAGAAUGUAAGACUAUAGACAUAUCUAGUCGUCCCUGAGUGUUCCAAAUCAUGUCAUAAACCAAGCCACCAUUUUUUUUUUCAAUGAAUCUGCAAUAAUGCAGAUGAAAUGCCAAAGCAUUAAAAGGUGAAAGAAUCAGUUCAUUAGAGAGGAAAUUACCAAUGCCCAGUAUUAAAUAUGAGAACAUCAUAAAAAUGAUUGACGGUGGGUCAUUCAUCUGCAGGUGCGUCAUCAUCGACGCGAUAUGUUUCCUUCUAUCCAUCAUUCGCAAGUGCAACUGUUUUGGGUGCCACCUUUAUUUGAUCAGUGAUGAGCAAGUGAGGUUGUCAUUUUCAAUAUUUAAAAAGGAGAAAGAAAAAAGUGAUAACAUUGUAUUCCGGUAGAAGGGAGCCAUAAGAUUCCAACAAAAUGCAUUCAGGACCAAGAAGUGCA